CCUACGGGAGACAGCAGUGGGGAAUAUUGCACAAUGGGGGAAACCCUGAUGCAGCGACGCCGCGUGAGUGAAGAAGUAAUUCGUUAUGUAAAGCUCUAUCAGCAGGGAAGAAAAUGACGGUACCUGAGUCAGAAGCCCCGGCUAACUACGUGCCAGCAGCCGCGGUAAUACGUAGGGGGCAAGCUUUAUCGGGAUUUACUGGGUGUAAAGGGAGCGUAGACGGCAGUGCAAGUCUGGAGUGAAAGGCGGGGGCUCAACGCCCGGACUGCUCUGGAAACUGUACGGCUGGAGUGCAGGAGAGGUAAGUGGAAUGCCUGGUGUAGCGGCGAAAUGCGUAGAUAUUAGGAGGAACACCAGUGGCGAAGGCGGCUUACUGGACUGUAACUGACGUUGAGGCUCGAAAGCGUGGGGAGCAAACAGGAUUAGAUACCCUUGUAGUC
rnacentral:rRNA from 1 species